UCCAGAUAAAUGACUGCAUAAAUCAUUUCUGUCUUACAGUCAUUAUAAUGCAUUUGUAUAUAUUCAGGGUGUUUUAUUUGUCUAUGUUAAAGUAGAUCUUGAGCCAUAUGCAGCUGUUGUGAUUAUCAUGAAAGUGUUCUCAGAAGAAUGAGUGAAGAUCAUCCAGUCCGGAAGCGUUGCAGACUACAGGGCACGAAAGUAUGCAGUGUGUGUGCAGACAGGCUAAUGCCCAUCAUUUUGGUGCCCUGGCAUGUGAGUCCUGCAAAGGUUUCUUCCGCCGAAAUGCUGUCAGAGUAAAGGGUACCAAGGCAUGCUUAUUCCAAGGCAACUGCAUGAUCAACAAACAAACACGAAGCUUCUGCCUGGCGUGUCGGCUCAAGAAAUGUAUUGCUGUGGGCAUGAAUCCACAACUCAUCUUGAGUAGAGAAGAACGAGAGGAACU